rnacentral:rRNA from 1 species
GACGGUAGCUAAUACCGCAUAACGUCGCAAGACCAAAGAGGGGGACCUUCGGGCCUCUUGCCAUCGGAUGUGCCCAGAUGGGAUUAGCUAGUAGGUGGGGUAACGGCUCACCUAGGCGACGAUCCCUAGCUGGUCUGAGAGGAUGACCAGCCACACUGGAACUGAGACACGGUCCAGACUCCUACGGGAGGCAGCAUG